rnacentral:rRNA from 1 species
UGCAGUCGAGCGGAUGAAGGGAGCUUGCUCCUGGAUUCAGCGGCGGACGGGUGAGUAAUGCCUAGGAAUCUGCCUGGUAGUGGGGGAUAACGUCCGGAAACGGGCGCUAAUACCGCAUACGUCCUGAGGGAGAAAGUGGGGGAUCUUCGGACCUCACGCUAUCAGAUGAGCCUAGGUCGGAUUAGCUAGUUGGUGGGGUAAAGGCCUACCAAGGCGACGAUCCGUAACUGGUCUGAGAGGAUGAUCAGUCACACUGGAACUGAGACACGGUCCAGACUCCUACGGGAGGCAGCAGUGGGGAAUAUUGGACAAUGGGCGAAAGCCUGAUCCAGCCAUGCCGCGUGUGUGAAGAAGGUCUUCGGAUUGUAAAGCACUUUAAGUUGGGAGGAAGGGCAGUAAGUUAAUACCUUGCUGUUUUGACGUUACCAACAGAAUAAGCACCGGCUAACUUCGUGCCNGCAGCCGCGGUAAUACGAAGGGUGCAAGCGUUAAUC